AUCCAUGGCAAAGCUUCGCAAGAUUGGAGUGUCGCAAAUGGAAGCACCGUCAUGACCAUGUGUUAACUGACGCAGUCAUGCCAACUGAAGAAAAACAAAGUCGUACUUAUAUGGCUUGGUACAAAUCGGUUGGUUUUCAGUUCAUCGCCGAGGAUAUGUACUUCUACGACCCACGCCAGAUGACUUACACACCUGACACCUCAACAUCAAACCCAUAACAACAGUGUCAGACCGGAUACACACAACCCCCUGUCCGUCAAACGUUCCGUUCAACCAACACACAAACAUACAACCAAAACAUUCCAUACACCCAACGCCAAUACCAAGAGCAUACCUCAUACCACCAUCAACCUGAGACUCAACAUCACUUCGCACCCACCCCAUCACCCUACCAAAGUCUCCUAAGCUAGAACACCCAACGAUCAUUCAACACCAACCGCCCCUCCUCCUACCGUAGCCAAGAACCCCAAACCUCACAAAACCAAAACAUCCAACAACCAUAUCUCUACCAAACACCCCAACAACCUUUCCAACCUUUCCUCGACGCAUCGUUCACACCCAUGUCUCCCUUCAACCGUCCCGGUCGCCCAUCAAUGAGUCAACCACAUCCCAACUUCUCCGGCAUGGGUCAUGAGCUCAACUACG
rnacentral:lncRNA from 1 species